GUUAUCCAAAUUGAAAUUCGCGAGUACUUAUGAGCUUGUAAGGACCAAGGAAUCAUUCUAGGAUUGAAUGUGGUCCCCACCAUACUGCCCACACACCGCCACAUGCACUAGCAUCGCUGGGUGGCUUGAUAAAUUUCUAGCGGCCAGAAUCCCUACCCUAGGUGUAACACUCUAUUUGGAACCACUUUUGUUCUUGGACCUAC
rnacentral:lncRNA from 1 species